AGUACCGGGUAUGUACAGAUUGGGUAUCUCGUGCUCGUCAUUUGGAGGAAACUAUAUCUAUUUUAUUCUUCCUCAUACUCUCUUUCUUCCUCCUCCUCUCUUUAUGUUGUGCUGAAUCUCUUUCCCAAAUUUUUGUCCUAAAAGAAUCAAAACCAUCUCUAUAGUAUGUACAUAUACACAGUGAUGAGCUCGAAUUUUGGUUAUAUUUUUCAAUCUCCUUAUUUGCAUCAUCUUUCUCAUAUUUUUAUUUUCUCGUCAAAUUUCCCCUAAAUUUCAAACCCUAACAUUUUCAUCAUACACAAAUUAGUAAUUUUUCUUUUUCUUAGAUUCAGUCACAAAAACUCCAGCAAAUUAGGUUUUAGACAAUCCUAAUUUCCAUUUAUGUUCUUAAUCUCCUCUUGCUUUGUCCUGAUCUGAUGGGCAUUUGCUGUCAUUGCUAUGUCUCUCAAAAUAAAUUUAUCAUGUGUGCUGGUGAAAUUUACUGCUGAAUUUACGGCAUUCCUGCGAAAGGUUUUGAUAAAUGAAGGUGCUGUAACGUUCAUGGUCUUGGAAACUUACUAAUUGGGUGGGCAGCACUUUAUUUAACUGAAUUUAGGAGCCCUGAAAUAGCCGAUUAUGAUGACAGUAGUUGUGUGAACUGGUUAAAUGAGUUCCCCAUGUACCACUACAAAUUGCUUCAGAAAGAGUUAGAUAUUUUGAGAGAAAUGCACCCACAUACCAACAUCAUUUACGUUGAUUACUACAGUGUUGUCCUGAAGAUUUACCAAUCUCGCAAACCAUUUGAAAAUUAAAUGUUCUUAUUAUGACUUAGAACUGUACCAUCGAUGGUUCCCGUUUUGACUUUUCUGGCUUCUGCUUCAACUAUCUGCAGCGACGUUUUUGUUGGGCCAAUAGUCUCCUUACCUGUCAAUUUGACUAAGUGUCAUUUGCUGUAAAUUUGGCAUACAUCAAAUCUGUUAAAGUGAAAGACAAAUAUUUCAGUGUGAACAAAUAUUACCUCGAGCAAGAAUUCGGCGAAAGCUAUGUUUUCUGGAUUGCACUGAUCAAGACGCAUAUUCUUUGUAAGUGUCAGAACUAUUAUAUCAUUCCAGAGUAUGGAGCUUCUAACACAUGCUCCUACGACAUCUGCGCGUCCUCCAUUUGGUAUAACUGGAAUUGAACAUACGCUGGUUUCGUUGAUCUCUACUGGGAUCUUGAAUGUUGAAUGUGCUGUUCUACCCCCAACCAAAAGUAAUUAUCUUAUUUAAAAGUAAAUUGCACGGUUAAAAGCAUUGGAGAAGUACCUGAUGAUGCAACGGGGUAAGAACUAUGUCGCCAUUGAAUCGGCAGCUUGCAUCUACAGUAUUAUAUACGAAAGUUUUCCACGUCCCUGCGAUUCCAUUCAGAAAAAAAGUACGGCCAUCCCUUUGUUGUACAGACUCUGUUAUUUUAUUGUAUGCUGAUAACUGUUCUGGAUUCAAGCUUGCAAUAUUUCUUCGAAGUUCUGGUUGUUGGAUUGCAAACUGAAGUUGCCUAUGCUCACAUAACAACCUGUUGCCAAUUAUCUUACCCCAAUUUUCUUUUGGCCGUGGCAUGUUAGAAAAAUGUUUUAGUUUUUUUCCGCCUUCACGCAACAAUCUAUCCAAGAGGUACAAUCCAUAAUUUAAAGUCUGUUCAUCCGUUGGAUUUUGAAUGUCAAACAUUGUUCUCAAUCCAUGAGGGAGAUCGUCGCAUAUUUUCUUCCCAAACUUUUCCCACAAUAUUUCUGGUUCUGUUGGGUUGCAGUCAGAUAUGACGAUUUUGAAUAGUUUCCGUAGCUGACUGCCUGUUUGGAUAUCGGCGGCCUCUUCAAGAAGCGCCAGCGGUUCUCCAUCAUGUUCUAGUAAUCCAAGUUCUAUGCACGCUUUCUUGAAUGUAGGGCACAGUUCACCGUUAACUGUUUUGAGACUGUCAAAUGAAUCUGCACCAGCAACAACGGUCAGCAACAAUCUCAAAUAGUACAAUUCUCCGGCAUUGGGAGAAAAAAAUACAUUGUAGCAAUCGCAAAACCCCGUUGCCUGGUUUUCCACUUUUUUACUCCAUACAAAGUGUUGUGGUGUGGAAACUCUUAAUAGGUAUAUGCGAGUGCCGUUGGAUUUUCAGUAUAAUAUUCAAAAUAAGCCAUCAAGGUUGACUUAUAGUUCUCAGCCUUAUCUGUAACCCCUUGUAUUGUUCCUUCUGAUUCGUAGAUAAUUCUUUGUUUUCCU